CAACUACUCCCUCUAUCCCAAAUUUCUUGUCUUAGAUUUGUCUAGAUAUGGAUGUAUCUAAUACUAAAAUGUGACUUGAUACAUCCGUAUCUAGACAAAUCUAAGACAAGAAUUUUGGGACGGAGGGAGUACUUU
rnacentral:pre_miRNA from 1 species